GAUGAACGCUGGCGGCGUGCCUAAUACAUGCAAGUCGAGCGAACAGACGAGGAGCUUGCUCCUUCGACGUUAGCGGCGGACGGGUGAGUAACACGUAGGUAACCUACCUAUAAGACUGGGAUAACUUCGGGAAACCGGAGCUAAUACCGGAUAAUAUUUCGAACCGCAUGGUUCGAUAGUGAAAGAUGGCUUUGCUAUCACUUAUAGAUGGACCUGCGCCGUAUUAGCUAGUUGGUAAGGUAACGGCUUACCAAGGCAACGAUACGUAGCCGACCUGAGAGGGUGAUCGGCCACACUGGAACUGAGACACGGUCCAGACUCCUACGGGAGGCAGCAGUAGGGAAUCUUCCGCAAUGGGCGAAAGCAUGACGGAGCAACGCCGCGUGAGUGAUGAAGGUCUUCGGAUCGUAAAACUCUGUUAUUAGGGAAGAACAAACGUGUAAGUAACUGUGCACGUCUUGACGGUAACUAAUCAGAAAGCCACGGCUAACUACGUG
rnacentral:rRNA from 1 species